rnacentral:rRNA from 1 species
AUGGGACUCGUACUUCUCCUCCUCUACCCAAUCAUGUUCUGCAUGAGGAUGAUGGCCAUGGCGGCCUUCUGCGGGUUGCGCGCGGGCCCGUUCCUCGCUGGCCGCGCCGUGCUGCCCAAGUGGCUCAUGGAGGACGUGGCCGCCGAAGGCUUUAAGACGAUGAGGGUGAGUGGUGCCGCCGGCGGGCGGAGGGUGUGCGUGGCGAGAAAGUUGCCGAGGCUGAUGGUAGAGGGGUUCCUGAGGGAGUACCUCGGCGCGGAGGCGGUCGUCGGGAAGGAGAUGAAGGUGCUCUGGGGGUUCUACACUGGUCUAAUGGAGGAGCAAGACAAGUUGAUAUUGGAGGAGGAGAAGAUCAUGCUGGAGGGUAAUGAUGCCGUGGGAUUCUCUCGCUCGCUCGAGUUUCUCCAGCAUCCCCUCGCGCGCUGUUGCAAGAAUGUCUACCUCCUGACACGAGACGACAGAGCCACAUGGCAGGCGCUCCCGAGGAGCAUGUACCCCAAGGCCAUGGUGUUCCAGGACGGCCGCCUCGCAUUCCGGCCGACGGCCGGCAGCACGCUCGCCAUGUUCAUGUGGUUGCCAUUUGGUGUUGCCCUUGGAGCCGCCCGCCUCACCGUCGCACUCACCGUGCCAUAUCGAUAUUCCACGCCGAUCCUGGCAGCCACUGGCAUGUCAUGGCGCCUAAAGGCCGGCGAGCGACAGACUCUGCUGGGCGCCGACGGCGAGCGAGGACGUCUGCGCGGGCAGCUGUAUGUGUGCAACCACCGCAAGCUCAUCGACCCGGUGUACAUAUCGGUGGCGCUGGACCGACCGGUGCGUGCCGUGUCGUAUAGCCUCAGCCGCUUCUCGGAUCUCCUCUCGCCGAUCGGUCGCACCGUGCGGCUGGCACGAGACCGCGACGUUGACGCAGGCAUCAUGGGCCGCCUCCUGGACAGCGGCGACCUCCUCGUCGUCUCCCCCGAGGGCGCUCGGAUACGGCUGCACCAUGUUCAACAGGAAGGACAAAUACCUCAUGCUUGCUGGAUGGGUCAUAGACGACACCUCCUCACCUCAUAG